rnacentral:rRNA from 1 species
GGGAAUCUUGCGCAAUGGGCGAAAGCCUGACGCAGCAACGCCGCGUGCGGGAAGAAGGCUCUCGGGUUGUAAACCGCUUUCAGCAGGAACGAAACUGACGGUACCUGCAGA